ACGGGGUGCAGCAGGCGCGAAAACUUCACAAUGGGCGAAAGCCCGAUGAGGGAAUUCCUAGUGCUAGGACAUUUGUUCUAGCUUUUCUCAAGCGUAGAUAACUUGAGGAAUAAGGGCUGGGUAAGACGGGUGCCAGCCGCCGCGGUAAUACCUGCAGCCCAAGUGGUGGUCGAUUUUAUUGAGUCUAAAACGUUCGUAGCCGGUUUGGUAAAUCUUUGGGUAAAUCGGGAGGCUUAACUUUCCGACUUCCGAAGAGACUGUUAAACUUGGGACCGGGAGAGGCUAGAGGUACUUCUGGGGUAGGGGUAAAAUCCUGUAAUCCUAGAAGGACCACCGGUGGCGAAGGCGUCUAGCUAGAACGGAUCCGACGGUGAGGGACGAAGCCCUGGGUCGCAAACGGGAUUAGAUACCCCGGUAGUCCAGGGUGUAAACGUUGCAGACUUGGUGUUGGAGGCCCUUCGGGGGCAUUCAGUGCCGGAGAGAAGUUGUUAAGUCUGCUACUUGGGGAGUACGUCCGCAAGGAUGAAACUUAAAGGAAUUGGCGGGGGAGCAC
rnacentral:rRNA from 1 species